AAAACAAUCCUACGGGAGGCAGCAGUAAGGAAUAUUGGUCAAUGGGGGCAACCCUGAACCAGCCAUGCCGCGUGCAGGAAGACGGCCCUACGGGUUGUAAACUGCUUUUAUACGGGAAUAAACCUCAAUUCGUGAAUUGAGCUGAAUGUACUGUAAGAAUAAGGAUCGGCUAACUCCGUGCCAGCAGCCGCGGUAAUACGGAGGAUCCAAGCGUUAUCCGGAUUUAUUGGGUUUAAAGGGUGCGUAGGCGGCCUAUUAAGUCAGGGGUGAAAGACGGUGGCUCAACCAUCGCAGUGCCCUUGAUACUGAUGGGCUUGAUUACACUAGAGGUAGGCGGAAU
rnacentral:rRNA from 1 species